rnacentral:ncRNA from 1 species
UAGAGUAGAAAAUAAAUAGUUAAGUGUUGCCAAACGGGAAGUUGUUGGUAAACGAAAAAAUCGAAGAUUUUGCUGAUUUAUUUUCGCAUUCCGCUA